rnacentral:rRNA from 1 species
UGCCAGCCGCCGCGGUAAUACGGAGGGGGUUAGCGUUGUUCGGAAUUACUGGGCGUAAAGCGCACGUAGGCGGAUCAGAAAGUAUGGGGUGAAAUCCCAGGGCUCAACCCUGGAACUGCCUCAUAAACUCCUGGUCUAGAGUUCGAGAGAGGUGAGUGGAAUUCCGAGUGUAGAGGUGAAAUUCGUAGAUAUUAGGAAGAACACCAGUGGCGAAGGCGGCUUACUGGACCGGUACUGACGCUGAGGUACGAAAGCGUGGGGAGCGAACAGAAUUAGAUA